CCCUUAGAUGUUCUGGGCUGCACACGUGCUACACUGGCAGGUUCAGCGAGCUUCAUGCCCUGAUCUGAAAGGAAUGGGAAAUCUUUUCAAAACCUGCCGUGCUUGGGAUAGAUGUUUGCAAUUAUUCAUCUUCAACGAGGAUUGCCUUGUAAGCGCACGUCAUCAGCGUGCAUUGAAUACGACCCUGUAUUCUGUACACACCGCCCGUCGCUCCUACCGAUUGAGUGGUCCGGUGAGGCUUUGGGAUCUGAGCAAAGAGAGCGUUUCGCUCGUUUUGCCCGGAAAACUCAGUCGAACCUUAUCAUUUAGAGGAAGGAGAAGUCGUAACA
rnacentral:rRNA from 1 species